rnacentral:misc_RNA from 1 species
ACAAAAUCCAAACAAAAAAGAGGACUUAGGAUGCGGACUUUCGGGUCUGUUUACUAUUUCCUUUUUUUUUUCAACCCAUUGUGAACUGUAAUUGUCUCUGGUGUGGUUAAGAGUCUUCUUUUUUAUGAAGAUAGUGAGUAAAAUCACUACCCACCGUUAUUUUUAAACUUUUGAUAUUUUUAAUUGGACUUUAUAACCUAUAAAAGCUUGUCUUUUUAUAUUUUAAAAUAAAAAA